UACGUAGGGUGCGAGCGUUGCCCGGAUUUAUUGGGCGUAAAGGGCGCGUAGGCGGCUCGGCACGUCCGUUGUGAAAUCGCCCGGCUCAACUGGGCGGGGUCAGCGGAUACGGUCGAGCUUGAGCAAGCUAGGGGGUAAUGGAAUUCCCGGUGUAGUGGUGGAAUGCGUAGAUAUCGGGAGGAACACCAGUGGCGAAGGCGGUUACCUGGGGCUUUGCUGACGCUGAGGCGCGAAAGCUAGGGGAGCAAACGGG
rnacentral:rRNA from 1 species